AUGAAUCAGAAAUCGGAGAAAAGCGUUGAAGAAAUUUUGAAUAGAUCUUUGCAUUUCUCCGUUAUCCAUUGCCAUCCCGUUUCCGUUUGGGUUGAUCCGUUGUGUUUGGACCGUUCCGUUCACUCGUUUGCCGUGACGUACGUUACGUUCAGUUGCGUUGCGUAUGGUGUCAGAAUGGUUGUUCAACUGGACCAUGAUGUGAAAGAUGUGAAAGGAAUUAUUAAAUUGGAAAAUAUUAAUAAAUUUGAUGAGAGCUGGAAGAAUUAA